AGCGAGGAAGGGGGCGGGGGGAGGACUGUGUGAGUGUGUGUACUGCGUAUUCACUCAGCCUCAUGCAGUAGGCACUACGGGCAGGCUACGCCGCUUGCAUAGCUGAGGUUGAAAACAGCAGUAUCCCUCCAGCACGAAAGGGGGAAAGCGACUCAGGCUGGCAGGAUUCCGGAGUGGAUUCCCCGGUGGGGUCUCCUCUAGGCUGGAGAGAGAGAAGAGGUAGAAUCCCUUCCACCCUCCCCAAUCCACGCCUUGUAAAUUGUAACAUGAACCCUCCUUCGCUUUCCAGCCCGCUGCUCCCGCCCCCUCCCAGAACCCAGCCUUGCUGGCGGCGCGCGGCCUCACUUCGCUAGCGCUAUAACGAGCUCAAGGAAGCCCCUUUCGUCCCUCGGGCAGCGAGUCCACCAGGGAAAGGGCCAGCCCGCCAUGGUAGCUAACUCCAUGCAGAUCAGUCCAACACCCUAAACCCUCGUCCCUGGCUCCCGCAACUGAUGGACGCCCCCUCUGCAGUGUUUCCUUUCCCCGGGUCAGAACCAUACCAACUCGACCUCCCCCCACUGUCUCCGACCUUCACAGUUCCUUUGCUUCUUUAAACUAUUUUGAGCCGCUCUGCAAGAAAGCGGCAAGAACCACCGGCUUGCGGGAGAAAAGGGGCAGCGGAGGUAGCCCAACCUCCAGGGCUGUCCAUCUUUCCCUCCCACCGGCAUAGGAGGCGGGGUGGAGACUAGAGAUGCAACUCCAUGUUUGCAAAGGGAAUCAGGUUCAAUCAGUUGGGAGAGGACAGCUCGAUGGAUCGAGAACAGGAGAAAGGCGGCUGCUCCGGUUUGGGUCGUAAAGUGGGCUUCGUGCACGGCAGGUAGCAAGCGUUGGGUAACUGAACGUUCGCGCGUCAACAGGGGUUCGGCGCUAGAACGUUCACCCGGUACCUGGCUACUUUGCGUUCGGAAAUGGAACGCUACGGCGGCUGCUAGAGGCCCCACUCCAUUCAGCGGGGCUCCGGCGAGGAUUGUUUUGGUGUGAAUUUAAAAAUAAUCACACAGCUGCCGGUUUAGAGAGAGAGAAACUAGAGCUGCAGUCCGCGCCCCCCUGCCGGCGGCUGCCUCUUGGCAGAUCCAUUCACACGCCUCCGCCCAACAAGUUUCACGUAAAGAAGCACAAAUCUACGGGUUCCGAUUCCGCCCUCUCUGCUAGUAAGACAUCCGGCCUUGGGAUUUGUAAACUAGAUCCACGCUCCGGCAGCGCCUGCAAAACCCUGCACCGAGCCUAGCUGCAAAAGCCACCCCCCGCACCCCAAAAUCUACUCAGUAAACUCCUAAACCUCCUCUCGGGACCUUAACCCGCAGCGCAGCUUUGUUUUUGCCAAGCAAAAUAAGGGGCGGGGGGAAGUGAAGUGUCCCUGCUCCUCCUCUUCUCCCCGAAACUGCAUGGAUCCCAGCGCGAUGUUAAACAAACACAACCAGCACGCAUAUCACCCGGCCAAAUGCCUGCUCUUCCUCGGAUCUCCGUGCAGGGACGGGGAGGGAGAGCGAGGGUAAAGCAAAACCCAGGGAAAAACUGCUUUUAAUUUCUCCCCGCUUUCUCAACGGACCCGACUGCUCACUCCCUCUCCCCCCAUUAACAACAGCUCCGCCUACCACCCCUUUUCUCUCCUCUGGUUCUGGCCCGAUUUGAAACGGGUGACCUUAACUACCACCCCACCCCCCCCCGGCCCAAAAUAUUGGGGACUAAAUUGAAAGCAGCUGUUACAUACCCUCAAAGCCCAGGCGAGGAGUCCUGAAUGGAUGGGAACACCCUCCAAACGGGAUUGGCCUCUAGCUGAAACUCGUCACUUCAAUCCCACCCACCAGGGGAGGGACGGCUGGAUCCAAACCUGCAACCCAGGACACGCCCUCCCCUCUUCCCCAAAACACGCAGGGCAGGGCUUUGUGCAAAAGUGGAGUUAGGCUGCUGAUCAGCCAUUUAUGUACAUCAAACUUAGGGCUGCACGUCGGGGACUGAAGUGAGCUCUCACACGCUGGGGCUUGCAUUAGCUUCGGUUUCCAUCUGCCUAGCUGCACUUGAAGUACUUUCUGAACCUACUUGUUACAGUGUUAGGAGCACAAAAGCAAAGUUGUGCUGAACGCCACAGAGCCAGUCCUAAGGCCAUGGGAGCGAUGCGGUUGUGCUAAGACGCCCCCCUUGGCAGCCCAACUCCAGGGCAGGGAACACAGCAGCAGCACCGUGGAGCAGAGCGGAAUCAGCGGAGCUGCGUGAUGCAUAUUUCCAGCAGCCUUAGAGUGGGGUCACCGUCUGAGUCCGGGAGAAAGGGCACUGUGCUGCCACGCCGUCGCUUGUGUCUAUACAUUCAACAGUGCCAGUCCCGCUGCUGACAGGGAGAGAGGUGUGUGUCUGCCACGAGGGAGGCAAAAGGAUGCAUUUCAUGGCGGGAAGGAUUAUAGCCAUGAAAGGUCUUUUUUAGCGCAAGGAAAGCCCAAUCCUACAGCAGUUGUAGUCAGCAGGUCUGCAAUGUGCAAACAGCUGCAUGGCAACUGCUGCGUUACCUCUGGCAUCACAACAAUCAGCUGUUCAGCGCUGUCUCGCAAUCAGAGGGCUAGAUCCUGCCUUUGGCUGCCAGGGCCAGUUACUAGGGGCAAAGCACGACAGGAACAUUUUCUCCCCAUCACCAGCAAGGCAGAAUUCCUACAAGAGGGAGUGGCUGAUUGGCAAGUUACUGAUAAGAACUGCUGGAAAGGGGGCAUGGCCAAGAGCCCAUCUGGUAAGCACACACGCUGGUGUCACAUGCUAGCCAGAAGUGCACACUGCUCGUUUUAAAGAGAAGACAAAGCGCAGGAGUGUGUGACCUGCCCUGGCAGGACGGGUCCUGUAACCACUGCAUAACCAGCCCUGCCCUGUGGCCUCCUGCCCUCACCAACAAGGGCAGCUGGCAAGGAGAAAACCCCGUUUCACUCCCAUUCUGCACAGACACCUUAUGAAAAUCAGCAGGCAGGAGGGAUCAAUCAGCACAGGUGCUCUCGUAAAGACGACGUUUCCUUGCUCCCAUGCAUUGUAUGGAGAGAAAGAACCAUCUAGCUCACCGGCAACCUUUCCAGAAGCAGGGGCUAAAGGGAGCCGGGGUCAGCCAAGUGGGAGCAAAGAGAAGAAGGGGGAAAUAGAUUGGCUUUGACGGGGUGCCCAUCAAGCCAUGGUAUGCGGCAGGAGGCUCUCAGGAGGUGUUUGGUAAAAUUCUUGAAAUGAAUUGGAAGGAAGGUGAGGGUGAUUUCCCUGCCUCUGACAUUUUGCCCCGUCCCUGUCCAUCUUCUCUGCAGCACGUGCACCUGGGACGCAGGGCUUAUUACUGGCUAGGAAAGCCCAUUGUUGGGCCCUGGGUUAAGAUAUUGGCAGUCAGUCACUGCCAUGACACCUCUGGAUUUCUGGCUAACGUCCUGUGGUCUGAACACUGCAUGGAAAGCGCUAAGGCCCAACAUGACUCUGUAUCUUACAGACACCUCCAGUCACUCAUGCUUCACUCUUGUGCUGAUCACAAUGUGAUCAGAACAGAUCUCUCGCUAGCCACUUAGCUCGCAGGCACCCAUCUAAUUUCCUCUCUAGGGGCCUUAUUCUGCCUUUAGCUACCAUUGCACGUGCAGCUCCCACUGGCCUUAUGGGGAAUGGUGCUUCUAUACAGAAGGGAAGAAAAUGGCCCAGAUGUUCAAAGUGUGCAUGCUUCUGUCCAUGUGCAAUCCUUAGUGCACAAACACAAGGGAUUUGCACACACCAGUGUGGGCACUCACUCCAUGUGCAUUGCACAGGAACAAGUCAAACCCAAGCAAAAUGGUUGUGCACUUCUGAAAAUCUGGGCCUCCAGCCCAGCCUGUAGCCCAGUUCCUAUCCCCGGGGGGCGAAAAUAGCUUUCAUCCAAAUAACUACUGUGCACCUGCCACAGGCUACCUUCAUACGACAUGCUUUUCCCUGUGCGUGUCAGAUCUCUUAAUCAGUCACCAUUCUGCUUCCACUUCCUAUGUCCCCAACCUCUCUGCUCCCCUUUGAUCACCUCUAAAGGCCAGUUUGGAGAUGUGCACCACUGGCAGAGACUACAAAAGCAGCUGCGGCAACUACAGGAAGGAGUGGCUAUAAAUCCAGAGAGCAUCGUAAAGAAGGGCUGCGUCUACGCUGAACUUUUUCUUCAGAUCUCCCCGGGGGCCACCUCUGCCAGUGGCAGCCCCAGAGCAGACCAGCUGCCCACACCCCAGCCUUUCUCCGAGGAGCCUAGUCAACAUGGUGGUGAAACAACAAGGGAUGCUUUGUGCUACAGUUCCCGCUGUUGCUAUGAGGCACAGGG